CGUAGGGGGCAAGCGUUGUCCGGAAUUAUUGGGCGUAAAGCGCGCGCAGGCGGCUAUUUAAGUCUGGUGUUUAAACCUUGGGCUCACCUGAGGUCGCACUGGAAACUGGGUGGCUUGAGUACAGAAGAGGAAAGUGGAAUUCCACGUGUAGCGGUGAAAUGCGUAGAUAUGUGGAGGAACACCAGUGGCGAAGGCGACUUUCUGGGCUGUAACUGACGCUGAGGCGCGAAAGCGUGGGGAGCAAACAGGAUUAGAUACCCUGGUAGUCCACGCCGUAAACGAUGAGUGCUAGGUGUUAGGGGUUUCGAUACCCUUGGUGCCGAAGUUAACACAGUAAGCACUCCGCCUGGGGAGUACGGUCGCAAGACUG
rnacentral:rRNA from 1 species